rnacentral:misc_RNA from 1 species
UUGAAGUAUUUAUAUUUUCACUCAGAGUACUGGUUUCAAUUUUUAGAGUUUGGAGGUCCAUCGACGGGCUCUCAAGGGCCCAAAGGCCAGAGGCGAGAUCCCUAGGGAUCUUCGCGGCCCGCCGAGGCAACAUCGUUCGUAGACAUGGGGUUGGAGGUCGGGCGCCACGAGGGCACCCUGAACUCGGUAAUGAUCCUUCCGCAGGUUCACCUACGGAAA